rnacentral:lncRNA from 1 species
UGUCCCUCAAUCAGAUUGACUCAUUUAUUUGACAUUUAAUGUUACAUUUUUAUAAUAUAUUUUGAUUGGUUGAUAUCUUGAAAGGAUAAAUACCCCGUAAACAAGAGAAAGUAAUCUAGACCUCAACCCUAAAUUUAGAUGGGUUUUGUGUUUGAGUUUGAGUUAAUGCAAUAUUAACUAAAUAGAACAAAUAUAUCCAUUUAUUGAUUUCAUCACAUAAUUUAACACACACUUUUCAAACAGCCCUGAACAAACAUUACACCUAAUACCAUUACAAACAUCACAUAGAAGCCAACAUGCAUAUGCAACAAUAUGCCAUUACAAACAUCACAUUAAUCAAUUAUAAAGAUGAACACUUAAGCCAACCCAAUGCAAUAAGCCAUUAACUUAUUUGUUACAUUCAUUACGACUUAUAUAGCUAUCUUUGCCUUGGCAAGAUGAUUAUCAAUAUCUCGAGCACAUUUGCCAAAGUAUUCCAUGUAGCCAUUUGGAG